rnacentral:misc_RNA from 1 species
UUGAAUGAACUUGGUUAGGUUGCUUGCUGGCUCUUACAGAGCAUGUGCACACCUACUCCAAUUUUCAAACCCCUGUGCACUCUCUGUGGCCCUGAAAUAACUUUCGACGUUCCAGUCGGCUUGAGAACUGCUGUGCGAAAGCCAGCUUUUCUUGUGUUUCAGGUCUAUGUUUUAUUACACGCUCCUGAUUGAAUGUAUUUGAAUGCUGUCUAGCAGGCCAAUGUGCCUUUAAAAUCUAAUA